UCACUGCUUUUUGCUAACGGCUGAGUGGACGUUUCCAUUUGAAAAAAAAACAACGGAUAAGACGCAGAUGGACCCGCCCUAUAUAAUGUGUUUUAAUUUGUUUGAGACAGAAUUAUCUAUUUAAAAGUUUCUUUCUGGUGAAAUGUGACAAAUACAAUCCAGCUUUGACUCAAUCAAGUUAAAGUCCGAUUUUUCUAAAUGACGACUGAAGGGAGCAGAUUUACUUCAACCUUUAUUACGUUUCUUCUAGUUUUCAGUCGCAGUGAGACGUCUUACCGUACAGGAAAUCUUUGAAUGAUCAACCUGCUGCACAAAAGUAGAGCUGGAGACGAAGCUCAGCCGAGGAAGGUGGAGAUGAAGACGCUGGUGUCCAGGUUGAGGGUGGCGUGCCACCAGCGGUCGGGGAAAUACAGCACCUGAUGGAGGAACAACAACAACGACACUUCAGUGAACCCUGACGGACAGACAGACGGACACACGUCUGAUGGUGCACUCCAGCGGAGCCUCGUCCUCCGUCAGCUGGGGGUAGGUCUCCGUCACCCAGGCCAGGGUGGUCCGGUUCGGGUGGAAAUGAGGCUCCUUGUCAGGCGG